rnacentral:misc_RNA from 1 species
GAUGAAGAACGUAGCGAAAUGCGAUAAGUAGUGUGAAUUGCAGACUAGAGUGAAUCAUCGAAUUUUUGAACGCAUAUUGCGCUCUCUGGUAAUUCCGGGGAGCAUGCUUGGCUGAGGGCCUGUAAAACAAAUCUCCGGAGGUAACCUUCUGGUGGUCGAUGGGUGUCAAUCCGAUGAAGACUCCUUUUUGGGGGAACGAAUCGGUCACCUGAAAUAAUUGGCUCCGCUGGAUCGCGGAUCGUGCAGUAAGGCAUAAUGGAAGAGCGGUUACACGCCUUCAAAAACGUCACACUUACACGAAAUGCGACAGAAGCGAGAAGCCAUGUUUUGGCAUUUUUUGCCAAAUGCGUCCAUGGCGCAAACAUUGAUUUCCUGGACUCAGAUCAAGCAAGACCACCCGCUGAACUUAAGCAUAUCAAUAAGCGGAGGA